rnacentral:rRNA from 1 species
AUGCCCAGCCAUAAACACAAGUAGUAAAAUUACCCAAACUACUCGCCCGGGAACUACGAGCAUAAGCUUAAAACCCAAAGGACUUGGCGGUGCUUUAGACCCCCCUAGAGGAGCCUGUUCUAGAACCGAUAAUCCCCGUUCAACCUCACCCUCCCUUGUUUAUCCCGCCUAUAUACCGCCGUCGUCAGCUUACCCUGUGAAGGAUGAACAGUAAGCAAAAUUGGCACGCCCCAAAACGUCAGGUCGAGGUGUAGCGCAUGAGAGGGGAAGAAAUGGGCUACAUUUGCUGAAACAGCACACACGAACGAUGUAUUGAAACUUACACCUGAAGGAGGAUUUAGCAGUAAUAGAAGGAGAAUAGAGAGCUCCCCUGAAACUGGCCCUGAAGCGCGCACACACCG